rnacentral:rRNA from 1 species
GACGAACGCUGGCGGCGUGCUUAACACAUGCAAGUCGAACGGAAAGGCCCUGCUUUUGUGGGGUGCUCGAGUGGCGAACGGGUGAGUAACACGUGAGUAACCUGCCCUUGACUUUGGGAUAACUUCAGGAAACUGGGGCUAAUACCGGAUAGGAGCUCCUGCUGCAUGGUGGGAGUUGGAAAGUUUCGGCGGUUGGGGAUGGACUCGCGGCUUAUCAGCUUGUUGGUGGGGUAGUGGCUUACCAAGGCUUUGACGGGUAGCCGGCCUGAGAGGGUGACCGGCGACAUUGGGACUGAGAUACGGCCCAGACUCCUACGGGAGGCAGCAGUGGGGAAUAUUGCACAAUGGGCGGAAGCCUGAUGCAGCAACGCCGCGUGCGGGAUGACGGCCUUCGGGUUGUAAACCGCUUUCGCCUGUGACGAAGCGUGAGUGACGGUAAUGGGUAAAGAAGCACCGGCUAACUACGUG